rnacentral:rRNA from 1 species
AGCGAACGCUGGCGGCAGGCCUAACACAUGCAAGUCGAACGGAUCCUUCGGGAUUAGUGGCGGACGGGUGAGUAACACGUGGGAACGUGCCCUUUGGUUCGGAACAACUCAGGGAAACUUGAGCUAAUACCGGAUGUGCCCUUCGGGGGAAAGAUUUAUCGCCAUUGGAGCGGCCCGCGUCUGAUUAGCUAGUUGGUGAGGUAAAGGCUCACCAAGGCGACGAUCAGUAGCUGGUCUGAGAGGAUGAUCAGCCACAUUGGGACUGAGACACGGCCCAAACUCCUACGGGAGGCAGCAGUGGGGAAUCUUGCGCAAUGGGCGAAAGCCUGACGCAGCCAUGCCGCGUGAAUGAUGAAGGUCUUAGGGUUGUAAAAUUCUUUCACCGGGGACGAUAAUGACGGUACCCGGAGAAGAGGCCCCGGCUAACUUCGUGCCAGCCGCCGCAGUAA